ACAUGUUUGCUUCCCCUUCUGCAUAAUUGAAAGGAUCCCCAGGACUCUCAAAAGUAUCAAAGAACUGAAGCUUACUAGAUCAUUGCGUCCAGACGAUGAGAUGCCAGGACCCUCAUUCAUCGAGAUUACUUCCUUACCCCUCCUGAGUUCCUAUUUUCCCAUAUAUAUUUACAUUUCUUCCCUGCUUUAUAAAGCCCUAAUUUUAGUCAGUCAGGGAGAUGGAUUUGAGACCGAGCUCCCAUCUCUUUGGCUGUAGCACCCAACUAAAGCCUUCUCUUUGGCCAUAAUUGUUGUCUCAGUGAUUGGCUUUCUAUGCUGCCAGCAGUAGGACCUAGACUGAACCCUGGUGUUUCAGUAACAGCUGUGCACUACCACCCCUGAAUCUGCUACCACCACAGUGUUGUAUUAGAGAAUCAGCAGGUGGGGGACACCCAUCCUCCC
rnacentral:lncRNA from 10 species